rnacentral:rRNA from 1 species
UACGUAGGGGGCAAGCGUUGUCCGGAUUUAUUGGGCGUAAAGAGCGUGUAGGCGGCCAAGCAGGUCCGCUGUGAAAACUCGAGGCUCAACCUCGAGACGUCGGUGGAAACCGUUUGGCUAGAGUCCGGAAGAGGAGAGUGGAAUUCCCGGUGUAGCGGUGAAAUGCGCAGAUAUCGGGAAGAGCACCCGUGGCGAAGGCGGCUCUCUGGGACGGUACUGACGCUGAGACGCGAAAGCGUGGGGAGCGAACAGG